CCUACGGGCGGCAGCAGUGAGGAAUAUUGGUCAAUGGCCGCAGGGCUGAACCAGCCAAGUCGCGUGAGGGAUGACGGUCCUAUGGAUUGUAAACCUCUUUUGUCAGGGAGCAAAGGGCGCCACGUGUGGCGCUUUGCGAGUACCGGAAGAAAAAGCAUAGGCUAACUCCGUGCCAGCAGCCGCGGUAAUACGGAGGAUGCGAGCGUUAUCCGGAUUUAUUGGGUUAAAGGGGUGCGCAGGCGGAAUGUCAAGUCAGCGGUAAAAUUUCGGGGCUCAACCCCGUCGUGCCGUUGAAACUGGCGUUCUUGAGUGAGCGAGAAGUAUGCGGAAUGCGUGGUGUAGCGGUGAAAUGCAUAGAUAUCACGCAGAACUCCGAUUGCGAAGGCAGCAUACCGGCGCUCAACUGACGCUCAUGCACGAAAGCGUGGGUAUCGAACAGGAUUAGAUACCCUUGUAGUC
rnacentral:rRNA from 1 species